UACGUAGGCAGCGAGCGUUGUUCGGAGUUACUGGGCGUAAAGGGUGUGUAGGCGGUUCUUUAAGUUUGGUGUGAAAUCUCCCGGCUCAACCGGGAGGGUGCGCCGAAUACUGAGGGACUCGAGUGCGGGAGAGGAAAGUGGAAUUCCUGGUGUAGCGGUGAAAUGCGUAGAUAUCAGGAGGAACACCGGUGGUGUAGACGGCUUUCUGGACCGUAACUGA
rnacentral:rRNA from 1 species